rnacentral:rRNA from 1 species
GUCGAGGGGCAGCAUGGUCUUAGCUUGCUAAGGCCGAUGGCGACUGGCGCACGGGUGAGUAACACGUAUCCAACCUGCCGUCUACUCUUGGACAGCCUUCUGAAAGGAAGAUUAAUACAAGAUGGCAUCAUGAGUCCGCAUGUUCACAUGAUUAAAGGUAUUCCGGUAGACGAUGGGGAUGCGUUCCAUUAGAUAGUAGGCGGGGUAACGGCCCACCUAGUCUUCGAUGGAUAGGGGUUCUGAGAGGAAGGUCCCCCACAUUGGAACUGAGACACGGUCCAAACUCCUACGGGAGGCAGCAGUGAGGAAUAUUGGUCAAUGGGCGAGAGCCUGAACCAGCCAAGUAGCGUGAAGGAUGACUGCCCUAUGGGUUGUAAACUUCUUUUAUAAAGGAAUAAAGUCGGGUAUGCAUACCCGUUUGCAUGUACUUUAUGAAUAAGGAUCGGCUAACUCCGUGCCAGCAGCCGCGGUAAUACGGAGGAUCCGAGCGUUAUCCGGAUUUAUUGGGUUUAAAGGGAGCGUAGAUGGAUGUUUAAGUCAGUUGUGAAAGUUUGCGGCUCAACCGUAAAAUUGCAGUUGAUACUGGAUAUCUUGAGUGCAGUUGAGGCAGGCGGAAUUCGUGGUGUAGCGGUGAAAUGCUUAGAUAUCACGAAGAACUCCGAUUG